rnacentral:rRNA from 1 species
AUGCGGGAACGGCCCCGCCGCUGCCGCCCGCCGGUCUACCUCUACUGCCCACACCAACCUCUCAAUCCCUCCUCUUCCCGCUGCAUCUCCCACGCCCCAGCCACCCCUCAUCCAGCGCGCCUCCGCGCCGGGACGCCGCUGCUCCUCAUUCAGUGCGGUGCUCCUCCGCAGCCGGCGGCCCUUGCUCCUUCGCCAGCGCGCCUCCACGCCGGGCCGCCGCCACUCCUCAUCCUCAGCCCUGUCGCCGCCUCGCGCGCCUCUGCGCCUGGCCACCGCGAGCGUGCGUCCGCUCCACGCCUCCCCGCGCACAAAGAGGCCGGCCCUCCACAUUUCCCACGACACGCCCGGGGAGCUCCUUGUGCGAAAAAUCCCUCAACAAUUGGCGCGCCGAUGACAUCCAUAUCCUUUCCAGUAAAUCAGGACAAUAUGAUGUUCACAAUGAUGCACAUGCUUCAGAUUGACUAUAUAGAUCCUAUGAUUAAAGAGGGACAAGUUUACUAUAUGGAGCUAUACGAGGUAUGA